CCCAAUCACUUGAAGUUUUAAUCUUACACACUCUAUUAUUUGAUUUGAUGUCUCAUAGAAAUAAUGGUUUAUUUGGAUGAGACCAUACUUGUUGAGUACAAAAGUCUACCCAAGUCUUGAACCUUUUGUAAAACUAUCAAACUUUUUUUUUAUUUUCCUCUUCCUCUUGGUCGAAUACCCUCAUACCCACACAAUUAGACUUUAUUUUAGUCUCCAAAUCUGAAUUCAAGGCCUAAAGGAUCAAGCUCAAAUCGUUUCUAGUGUUCCAAGUGUUGUGAGUUAAAAGAUCAAAGAUCAAGCUCCUUCUCAUCUAUCAUUUUUUUUUCUCCAUCGUAACACUUGGACACGAGAAGGUUAUUUCAAGCUUGGGGCUUUUCUUGUCUUUAUUUGGUAUAUGGAGUAUUAUGCUGUACCGGCCAGGAGCAAAUGCAUAGGACGAUGACCGUGACACGCUAGGGUGGACUCGGG